AUGUUUCUACCUCGUUUGCGGUUGCACAGAUUCCCACAAACUGGACAGCAGUGGUUCACCCCCAUCAAUAGGAACACCAAACUAGAUACCAUAGUAGUAACUCCCCCAUUAAUAGAAAGACUAUUCAAACCAAGUCUCUUCCCUGAUUUGGACAACUUCUUUUACAAAGUUCAGACUGGUUCAUGUACCACAGCUUCUGAACUUGGAUGGGGUUGUUGGCAGUGUGACCACCAUGCAUCUAAGUCUGGCCCCACAGACAAUAGACUCUGCACUUGUCUAGUAGGAGUAUUUGGUUAUAUUUGCCAACUACUCCCUCUGUUCCUAAAUAUAAGUCUUUUUAGAGAUUCCACUACGGACUACAUAUGGAGCAAAAUGAGUGAAUCUACACUCUAA
rnacentral:rRNA from 1 species